UACGUAGGGCGCAAGCGUUGUCCGGAAUUAUUGGGCGUAAAGAGCUCGUAGGCGGCUUGUCGCGUCGACUGUGAAAUCCCGCGGCUCAACUGCGGGUCUGCAGUCGAUACGGGCAGGCUAGAGUUCGGUAGGGGAGACUGGAAUUCCUGGUGUAGCGGUGAAAUGCGCAGAUAUCAGGAGGAACACCGGUGGCGAAGGCGGGUCUCUGGGCCGAUACUGACGCUGAGGAGCGAAAGCGUGGGGAGCGAACAGG
rnacentral:rRNA from 1 species